rnacentral:rRNA from 1 species
GAUGAACGCUGGCGGCGUGCCUAAUACAUGCAAGUCGAGCGAACGGACGAGAAACUUUCUUUUCUGAUGUUAGCGGCGGACGGGUGAGUAACACGUGGAUAACCUACCUAUAAGACUGGGAUAACUUCGGGAAACCGGAGCUAAUACCGGAUAAUAUUUUGAACCGCAUGGUUCAAAAGUGAAAGACGGUCUUGCUGUCACUUAUAGAUGGAUCCGCGCUGCAUUAGCUAGUUGGUAAGGUAACGGCUUACCAAGGCAACGAUGCAUAGCCGACCUGAGAGGGUGAUCGGCCACACUGGAACUGAGACGCGGUCCAGACUCCUACGGGAGGCAGCAGUAGGGAAUCUUCCGCAAUGGGCGAAAGCCUGACGGAGCAACGCCGCGUGAGUGAUGAAGGUCUUCGGAUCGUAAAACUCUGUUAUUAGGGAAGAACAUAUGUGUAAGUAACUGUGCACAUAUUGACGGUACCUAAUCAGAAAGCCACGGCUAACUACGUG